AUUGAACGCUGGCGGCAGGCCUAACACAUGCAAGUCGAGCGGAUGAAGGGAGCUUGCUCCUGGAUUCAGCGGCGGACGGGUGAGUAAUGCCUAGGAAUCUGACUGGUAGUGGGGGAUAACGUCCGGAAACGGGCGCUAAUACCGCAUACGUCCUGAGGGAGAAAGUGGGGGAUCUUCGGACCUCACGCUAUCAGAUGAGCCUAGGUCGGAUUAGCUAGUUGGUGGGGUAAAGGCCUACCAAGGCGACGAUCCGUAACUGGUCUGAGAGGAUGAUCAGUCACACUGGAACUGAGACACGGUCCAGACUCCUACGGGAGGCAGCAGUAGGGAAUAUUGGACAAAGGGCGAAAGCCUGAUCCAGCCAUGCCGCGUGAGUGAAGAAGGUCUUCGGAUUGUAAAGCACUUUUAGUUGGGAGGAAGGGCAGUAAGUGAAUAUCUUCCUGUUUUGACGGUACCAACAGAAAAAGCACCGGCUAACUUCGUG
rnacentral:rRNA from 1 species